rnacentral:RNase_P_RNA from 2 species
UCAGCAGGUCGUUCUACCGCUGCACCCCUGAGGGUGGAGAGGAAAGUCCGGGCAUCACAGAGCGCCAUUCUUCCUAACGGGAAGAUGCUCGCAAGGGCAUAGUAGCGUAACAGAAAACAACCGCCACUGCUGCAGAGUAGGGCAAGGGUGAAAAGGUGGGGUAAGAGCCCACCGGCUCUGUUGGCAACAAUAGAGGCCGUACGCCUAAUGGGAUGAAAGACCAUAUAUAUCGCAAUUACCGGUACAAACGGUUACAAAGCUGCUCGCUUUGAUUUCACCUUCGUGAAAAUUGCGAGGGGUAGGUCGAUUGAGCUUACCGGCAACGGUUAGCCUAGACAAAUGGUAGAAACUUUGGUGUGCCAAAGUACAGAAUCCGGCUUAUAGACCUGCUGAUUUU